rnacentral:misc_RNA from 1 species
AAGUCGUAACAAGGUUUCCGUAGGUGAACCUGCGGAAGGAUCAUUUCCAAAUUCCAAGGGGAGUUCGCUCCCCCAAACGAGAUUGGUCCCCUAACUGUAAAAAGUUUUUGGGGGCUUCUCUCAAUAUCAACCUGUUGUACUGUUUGUCAAAAUUAUUGGUGCUAAUAAAAAAACAACUUUUAACAAUGGAUCUCUUGGCUCUU